UACGGAGGGUGCGAGCGUUGUCCGGAAUCACUGGGCGUAAAGGGCGCGUAGGUGGCUCGUUAAGUGGCUGGUGAAAUCCCGGGGCUCAACUCCGGGGCUGCCAGUCAGACUGGCGGGCUCGAGCACGGUAGAGGCGGAUGGAAUUCCCGGUGUAGCGGUGGAAUGCGUAGAGAUCGGGAAGAAUACCGGUGGCGAAGGCGUUCCGCUGGGCCGUUGCUGACACUGAGGCGCGACAGCGUGGGGAGCAAACAGG
rnacentral:rRNA from 1 species